ACACUCCUACGGGAGGCAGCAGUGGGGAAUUUUGGACAAUGGGCGAAAGCCUGAUCCAGCAAUGCCGCGUGAGUGAAGAAGGCCUUCGGUUGUAAAGCUCUUUUGUCAGGGAAGAAACGGUGAAAGCUAAUAUCUUUUGCUAAUGACGGUACCUGAAGAAUAAGCACCGGCUAACUACGUGCCAGCAGCCGCGGUAAUACGUAGGGUGCAAGCGUUAAUCGGAAUUACUGGGCGUAAAGCGUGCGCAGGCGGUUUUGUAAGUCUGAUGUGAAAUCCCCGGGCUCAACCUGGGAAUUGCAUUGGAGACUGCAAGGCUAGAAUCUGGCAGAGGGGGGUAGAAUUCCACGUGUAGCAGUGAAAUGCGUAGAUAUGUGGAGGAACACCGAUGGCGAAGGCAGCCCCCUGGGUCAAGAUUGACGCUCAUGCACGAAAGCGUGGGGAGCAAACAGGAUUAGAUACCCGAGUAGUCCCAUGA
rnacentral:rRNA from 1 species